GACGAACGCUGGCGGCGUGCCUAAUACAUGCAAGUCGAACGCAGUGGGGACGGGUGAGUAACACGUGGGUAACCUCCCAUCAGAGGGGAGAACACUUGGAAACUGGUGCUAAACCGAUACUGAUGGAUGGACCCGCGGUGCAUUAGCUAGUUGGUGAGGUAACGGCACACCAAGUCCACGAGUCCUAGCCGGUCUGAGAGGGUGACCGGCCACACUGGGACUGAGACACGGCCCAGACUCCUACGGGAGGCAGCAGUAGGGAAUCUUGGGCAAUGGACGAAAGCCUGACCGAGCAACGCCGCGUGAGUGAAGAAGGUUUUCGGAUCGUAAAGCUCUGUUGUUGGAGAAGCGGUAUCUAAACAGAAAGCCACGGCUAACUACGUGCCAGCAGCCGCGGUAAUAC
rnacentral:rRNA from 1 species